rnacentral:rRNA from 1 species
UGAGUAACCUGCCCUUAACUCUGGGAUAAGCCUGGGAAACUGGGUCUAAUACCGGAUAUGACUCCUCAUCGCAUGGUGGGGGGUGGAAAGCUUUAUUGUGGUUUUGGAUGGACUCGCGGCCUAUCAGCUUGUUGGUGAGGUAAUGGCUCACCAAGGCGACGACGGGUAGCCGGCCUGAGAGGGUCGACCGGCCACACUGGGACUGAGACACGGCCCAGACCUCCGUACGGGAGCAG